AUUGAACGCUGGCGGCAGGCCUAACACAUGCAAGUCGAGCGAGCGGCGGACGGGUGAGUAAUGUAUGGGGACUGCCCGAUAGAGGGGGAUAACUACUGGAAACGGUGGCUAAUACCGCAUACUAUCGGAUAACCCAUAUGGGAUUAGCUAGUAGGUGGGGUAAAGGCUCACCUAGGCGACGAUCUCUAGCUGGUCUGAGAGGAUGACCAGCCACACUGGGACUGAGACACGGCCCAGACGCCUACGGAGGCAGCAGUGGGGAAUAUUGCGCAAUGGGGGCAACCCUGACGCAGCCAUGCCGCGUGAAUGAAGAAGGCCUUCGGGUUGUAAAGUUCUUUCAGUCGGGAGGCGUUACCGACAGAAGAAGCACCGGCUAACUCCGUGCCAGCCGCCGCGGUAAUUC
rnacentral:rRNA from 1 species